UACGUAGGAUGCAAGCGUUGUCCGGAAUUAUUGGGCGUAAAGAGCGCGCAGGCGGUAUGACAAGUCAGAUGUGAAAGAGGCCGGCUUAACCGGCAAGGGUCAUUUGAAACUGUCAGACUAGAGUGCAGCAGAGGAUAGUGGAAUUCCCGGUGUAGCGGUGAAAUGCGUAGAGAUCGGGAGGAACACCCGUGGCGAAGGCGGCCAUCUGGACCAGCACUGACGCUGAGGCACGGAAAGCGUGGGGAGCAAACAGGG
rnacentral:rRNA from 1 species